rnacentral:lncRNA from 1 species
CUCUUUUUCUCUUUCUUUUUCUAGCUUUUCUUCUUUCUCUCACUCUCUCCUCUUUCUUGCCUUCCCUGCUUUUCAUUAAUCUUCUCACUUAAUUAUCCACAAUAUAUAACAAAUAUAUUUUUAUUAUUUUUUUCAAAGAGUUUUAUCUUGCCUUCCUUAAAAAGGUGAGUGUGAGAAGAAAAAGAAGAAGAGGAGGACAGAAGAAGAAGGAGGAGAAGGAGGACGAUCAGGGGAAGAAGAGAAAGGAGAAUACAAAACAAUAAUCUGCUUUUCUUUCCCCUCUGUAGCCUGAUGCACUGAAUAAGAAAGAGGUUUAAAUGUGAGUAACUCCCAGUGUAGGAGCAAGAACAUCUGUUCCCAGCGUGGAGAGCAGGAGGACUGUGUAAGGCUGAGCCCUGGGCUUUGGGUGUUAUUUAUCUCAGUGUCAUCAGAGAGAAAGAAAAAGUCACAAAACAGUAAGUGUGAACGUUUUGCAGGCAAUGCAAAGGAAAUAGAAUAGAGAGUUCUUCAAAAGAAGAAGUAACAAAAGAUUCCUCUUCUAGAAAAGGACCUUAAGGAAAUAAUCUAAGAUAUAGACAUAAAAUUAUCCACAAGAAUUUUUGUCACAAUAUCAUUUAAAAUAAUGAAGAAUUGAAAUACCCUAAACAUUCAACAAUAAAUGAAUAGUUAAAUCAUUUCUGGGACACUCAGGCAACAGACUAUAAAGCAACCAAUAAAAAACAAUUAAUAGAGAAAUACUUAAUGGCAUGAGAAAUACUCACUAGAUAAUGUUAAAAUUUUUUGAAAUAAUCAAAAUAUCAAAUGACUUUUGGUAUUUAUUCAGUGUCAUUUAAUUGAGCUGUUGCCUGGACUAUAGCAAAUACUGGGCAUUCAGUGGUGGACAUCGUCCCUGCCUUUCUGCAGCUUAAAUUCAAAGAAGAAAUACAGAUUUUAAACAAUUAAUUAUACAAAUAAUGAUUACAUGCCAUUUAAUCCCUAUUUCAAUAAAGAAACAUGCAAAUCAGUGAGAUAGAUUCUGUUAUCAGGCCCAUUUUUAAAAUAAGGAAACGGAGGCUCAUUGCAAUUAAACAACGGCUAGUAGGUGGCGGAGCUGGAACUCAGACUCCAAAGCCCAAGCUCGAAAUAAGUCACAAUGAAGGGGACAGAGCUAUGAGAGGAGCCACCCAGGGCCCCACCAGGGAGAGGGUCUAGCCCAGGCCUGGGUAUAAGGAAAAACUUUCUGAAGAAGCAACCUCUACCUGAGACCUGAAGAAUGAACUGUAGUUAUUUGAGAAGGGCUUUCCAGACCAGGACCUGGGGCACAGUCUGAGAAAUGAAAUAUCAGUAGAAAUGGCAUGUGGGGAUGCCAGGGUAUUAGGGGCGGCAAAAAUAAAGUCAGAAUUGUAAACAGGGAACUGAUAGUAUAGGGCCUUGAAAGUUGCCAUAGUUCAACAUUAUUCUUGAAACUAUUGGAAAUCAGUGAAGCACUUUAAGCGGGAAAACGUCUGAGUUAGUUUUCCCUUUACAAAAUAUAUUUCUGUCAGCUUGGUGGAGAAUAAUUUGGUUGAGUCAAGAAUGAAGGCUGGGUGAAAACCAUCAGCAAACAAACCGAACCUUCGGGUCCACAGGGGAGUCUGAACCUUUGUGCCGAACAUGGACAUCCAGGCAGCUCAGAGCUAAGGACGGAGCAUUUCCAAUCCACCUGUAAAUUAGCUCUACCUCACACAGCUAGCAACGUUAAAGAUGCGCAUACCUUAUGGCCAAGCAGGCACACCUCUUUUUCUACCAGAAGGUUCUCACAGUAUUGUUUAUAAUGUCAGAAAACUUUACAAAUGUCCGCUAAUAAUAGCAUAGACAAACUAUGUAAUAUGAAUACCGUGGUACGAAAUAGAACAAUGAGAAUGAAUGAACGUUACAGCCAGUUUCAUCAGCACUGACAAUCAGAAACUAUAAUGUUGAUUUUUUUUUUUUUUUAAAUAGAAGUAACAGGGAAUUUACACAAUACUUCUCACCACUCCUUACUGGGACAUAUGUCACAUUAGAUGGCACCUUAGAAGAUGGAUGUUAUCAAGGUUUUUGGUUUCCACUGAGAGAUUCUGAGUAUACAAAUCAGUGCUUGACGUGUGGUUGAAAGUAUCCAAAAAAGUUGAACUUGUCAAAACAGAGAGUAGAAUGGUGGUUUCCCAGGGGCUGGGGAGACAGGGAAGUGGGUAGAUGUUGGUCAAAGGCUACAAAAUUUCGGUUAUAAGAUGAAAAAAAAGAAAAAGAAUGAAGGCUAGGAGGCCAAUUAAGAGGCUAUAGCAGUCAAUCACUAGAAAGAUGAUGGUGGCAAGAACCAGAACACAAGAAACAAAGGAGAGAGAAAAGAUGUCUGGUUCCAGAGGUAUUUUGGAAGUAAAUUUAACAGAGGUAGAGUUUAAUUGAGUAUGAAGAGGUGAGAGAAAGGCAGAAAUCGGGUGCUAGGAUGAUUCUCAAGUAUUAUGCAAAUUGAGGGUCCAGUCCCUGAGAGAGAGAACACGGGAGGGGGGAUGUUAUUUUGGGGAAGGAGAUAAUCAGUCCAGUUAGGACAAGCUGAGUUUAAAGCACUUGUGUGACAUGGAGAAAUGCCUAAUGAUAAGGUCAAGUCUGAAGCUCAGGAGAAGGAGCUGGAUCAGAGGUCUACAUAGCUGAUGAUUGAGCCUUGGGAAUGAGAUUCCCUUGGGAGAGGUAUAUAGCAAGACAACAAGGCCUAGAAUAGAACCUGAAGAACACCAACAUGUAAAGAUUGGGCCAAAGAAUAAGACUGAAAAGAAUAAAAAAGACUGGGGAAUGAGCAGCAGCCAGAAAGAUAGUAAGGAAAAUGCCUACAAAGGAAAAAUGUGGUAUCCUAGAAACCUGCAGAGAGAAUGAUUCUGGAAGGUGGAAGUGGUCAGCACACAAAGAAAUGUCAACUGGAUUUAGAAACAAGGAAGUUGUCAGUCAUCUUUGGGAAGCCAGCCUUUUGUUGCAAGAUGGGAGCAGAAGUCAGACUGUAGAGUAGCUGCUUGGCAGGUGAGUAGGAGAGAAAGAAGUAGAGAUUGCACAUGGAGACACAUUACAUGGCUCUAAAGGCAAGGAGGAAGGUGGAGUGGUACCUAGUGGAGAGCCCAGGCCAAACACUGAUUCUUUCCCACUUUAUAGUUAUCGUCAUUUGAAUAGAUGAACUAACCAAUUUCUCUUCGCACGCACUAGAACCGAUAAGUGAUGUUCCUACUAAUUGGUAACCACCAAACUUCUAAGUCACUUGAUUUCUCUAAGAAGAAAAUGCCAGAAAUAAAGAUUAUGAAAGACAUCACAACAUUUGAUUUGAACACCAAGGAGGCUACAAUUGACCUUUUUGUUUCCACAGCAGCAAUAAAAAUUAUUUUUUAUUAUAACAAAUAUUAAAUAUUAUUAUAAUAAUAUCAGCUAACAUUUACUGAUCACUCACGUGCCAUACAUUGUUUUAAAGACUUGACACAUAUAACUAAUAACUAAUCCUCACAACAA